CAUACCCCAACGAAUAUAUAUCUCGUCAUCGUUCUGCUAGAAAAUUUAGAUCUGCAAUCUUUCGUUUCUCGUUUUGUUCAAUCGACUUGCUAUGGCGAUAGAUCUGUCGACGAUCUACGGUUUAGUGCGAUUUUGCUUGUGUUCUUAUGGAUCGAGUAUGUUUUCCAUGAAACCGAUGGAAUCGAUACGAGUUGCUGAUUUAUGUCUUUGAUGUACUUUGAUCGACAGAGUUUGAUUUGUUCAGCCGAUGGAAUCGAUACUAGUUGUUGAUUUAUGCCGUUGAUUUACCUUUGAUCACCAGAGGUUGAUUUUUGGUCAACAUGGAUCUGUUGAUCAACGUCUCAGAUCUACAGUUUAUGCUUUUGCUAGAGCUAAUUAGAAGGUAAAUUUAUAUUUCUCUUUCACAUCUACCGGAGUCUGAUUAUUAUUGUUUUAAAUCCGUUGAAAAAUCUUGUUUUUACUUUG
rnacentral:lncRNA from 1 species